AUGAAGGGAUGCCCUGAAAUAGUGCUUGAUAUCUCCUGGAACUUAAUUUUAUUUAGAUUUAUCAUUUUUUUCUAUUUAAGCCAUGUCUUUCUUGUGCUAGAGAGUGUUCCAUUCUUGACUGUUCACUUUUCUCUUGGUUCAUUUUUUCUAUUUAAGCUAUGUCUUUCUAUGGAAUUUAAGAAUUCUAUUAGCUACUGGAUUUUGGAUUUGUGCCUUAAACUAAUAAAUCAGCCAAGUAGAAUUUUGGGUUACAAAGUGCUUAUCUGGAAAAUCAAGAGAAACAUAAACUAUAUUAUUGAUAUAAAAUAUUACAGAUGG